rnacentral:lncRNA from 1 species
AAAAGCUGUCCCUUCUUCCUGGGCUCCACUUCAGAUGAAGCCAGCUUUAAGCGUCCCGUCUUUCUGGGAGGCCUGCUCAGUCUUCAGGGCUCAGCAGACUAUCAUGUGUUCUGCGCAGAUUUCCCUGGAUCCACCCUGAGUAGAGUUCAUUCCGCUUCGGGAACCCUUCGUCAGUUUUGGGAAAACGCCAACCGUUUUGCUGCUUUGAGUAGGUUUGCAGCCCCACACGCCGCCUCCUCCCCCUCCGAUAUUGGCCCAGAAUUAAAGGCCUGCUGUCCUCCCCUGCAGAGGGUGACAUCUGCCACUCAGAACCGAAGCACCACGUGCAGGAGAGCAGGGGUGGACGGUCCGCUUCCUGGCUCUGUCCACACCACUCCCACGACGUCAGGAGAGCAGGGGUGGACGGUCAGCGUCCCGGCUCUGUCCACACCACUCCCACGUGCAUCAGGAGAGCAGGGGUGGACGGUCAGCAUCCCGGCUCUGUCCACACCACUCCCACGUGCUUCAGGCGAGCAGGGGUGGACGGUCAGCGUCCCGGCUCUGUCCACACCACUCCCACGUGCUUCAGGCGAGCAGGGGUGGACGGUCAGCUUCCCGGCUCUGUCCACACCACUCCCACGACGUCAGGAGAGCAGGGGUGGACGGUCAGCUUCCCGGCUCUGUCCACACCACUCCCACGUGCUUCAGGCGAGCAGGGGUGGACGGUCAGUGUCCCGCCUCUGUCCACACCACUCCCACGUGCUUCAGGCGAGCAGGGGUGGACGGUCAGCGUCCCGGCUCUGUCCACACCACUCCCACGUGCUUCAGGCGAGCAGGGGUGGACGGUCAGCAUCCCGGCUCUGUCCACACCACUCCCACGACAUCAGGAGAGCAGGGGUGGACGGUCAGCUUCCCGGCUCUGUCCACACCACUCCCACGACGUCAGGAGAGCAGGGGUGGACGGUCAGCGUCCCGGCUCUGUCCACACCACUCCCACGUGCUUCAGGAGAGCAGGGGUGGACGGUCAGCGUCCCGGCUCUGUCCACACCACUCCCACGUGCUUCAGGAGAGCAGGGGUGGACGGUCAGCGUCCCGGCUCUGUCCACACCACUCCCACGUGCUUCAGAAGAGCAGGGGUGGACGGUCAGCUUCCCAGCUCUGUCCACACCACUCCCACGUGCUUCAGGCGAGCAGGGGUGGACGGUCAGCGUCCCGGCUCUGUCCACACCACUUCCACGUGCUUCAGGCAAGUGGACGGUCAGCUUCCCGGCUCUGUCCACACCACUUCCACGUGAUUCAAGCAAGUGGACGGUCAGCUUCCCGGCUCUGUCCACACCACUUCCACGUGAUUCAGGCAAGUGGACGGUCAGCUUCCCGGCUCUGUCCACACCACUCCCACAGCGGAACCAGAGUGCGGCUGCUGUGCUCCGAGUUGGUGGAAUAGCACCUCCCAUCCAGCGUACUGACCAGGGCACCACCGCCUUUUCCCACCCAGCAGGGAGGGCGGGCUCGCAGGCCUGUGCCACUGAGCAGGAGCUGUUGAAAGGCUGGCUUCCUCAGGACUCCCUUUACUGCAUCUCGCGCUAG